AUGUUCCUUCGGGAGGCAGCAGUAGGGAAUCUUCCACAAUGGACGAAAGUCUGAUGGAGCAACGCCGCGUGAGUGAAGAAGGGUUUCGGCUCGUAAAGCUCUGUUGGUAGUGAAGAAAGAUAGAGGUAGUAACUGGCCUUUAUUUGACGGUGAUUACUUAGAAAGUCACGGCUAACUACGUGCCAGCAGCCGCGGUAAUACGUAGGUGGCAAGCGUUGUCCGGAUUUAUUGGGCGUAAAGCGAGUGCAGGCGGUUCAAUAAGGCU
rnacentral:rRNA from 1 species